rnacentral:lncRNA from 10 species
CCCUGAACUUUGACUCUGCUAGCAAAUGGCUAGGCAAUAUCCUCUCUCCUCCCUGGGCCUCAGUUUCCUUGUCUGUAAAAUGGGAUGUGGGGCAGUAUAUGUCUACUAGAAUUAUUAUGAGGAAUAAACCAAGGAUUCAUCAAUGCCCAGCAUACAGUAGGUGCUUACUACGUGUUACUUCCCCCUCCCUCCCUUAUGUACCUGUUAAAGUCCUAUCUACAUCAGGAACCAUCUCAUCAUUUUUCCCUCCUUCCUAGAAUUCCACUAACAUUUUAGUAAUGGGAUUUUUAAAAGGUAAAACCACCAAGAAUAAAGAGAAUAUAAAAGGAGACAGUUGAGAAAAAGAAAUAGAGAGGCUACAACAAAUUAGAUAAUAUGGAGGUGGGUGGAGCUGAUGACCUCAUUCACAGAAAGCUGGAAUCUUAGUCUGUGGAAGUUGAUACCAAGUCAGUUUGUCUUGCAGACUCCAGAACGUAACAGAGCAAGAUGCUGCACUAGGCAGGGUGAGGCUGGGGUUGAAAGCCUGGGCAUGGUUUGGAGUUUUGUAACCAGAGCAGUUAGACCCCUAGGGACCUUCCAAUUCAGUUGGGGGACUCAUCCACCCAUCUCCACCCACUGCCUGCCCCAAGGAACCAGAGAAGCUGGACUUGAGGGUAUUGGGCCACCCCUGUGUGUGUUGGGGAGAGGGCCAUGCUGAGGCACCUACUUCAAACUAAUUAACAGACAUCCUUGUCUGAGUGGGGUCCCCAGCACGGUUUCAGAUCGCUGUCAGCUGAGCUUAGGCACCAUGUCAUUCCUCAGCCAAAGGCAGGAAGAGACUUCUCUCACUGAGGCCUCAGAGAAAAGAUCU